GAAGUCCAAUUAUUUUAGGCUCCAAAAAGAAGACAAUUGACCUAAAAAUUGUUCUCCCCCUUUGGCUCGAAAAAGAAAAUUUUACUAAGUCUUUUCAUCUAUCCCCUUUGGCUCGACUAGCUACUGUUCUUCAAAAAUUUCUUCUUUCCAAAAUACGAGACUUUCGUCUCCUUUGGCUUGAUUAGCUAUUGUUCUUCGAAAUUUGUUCUUCUCAAGUCUGAGACUGUUUCGAUGACUCUCUUGCAUUCUUGUUCACUCUUGCUCUCUCCUUGUAAUCUGACUCUGUCAAGCACAAAUCCCAGCAGCUAUUUCGUUGUUGUCCAGUUGAAGAUUCGUGUUUUAAGAUCCUUGGCAUAUUCUUUUUAUUGUGUAGGUAAUUGGUUCCAUUUCUAUAUUUAUUUGAUCCUUGCGUUUGGUGUGAUUUGAGUUUUUGAUCAAACAUCUUUCAAAAAUGUAUGUAUAAUUGGUGGUCGAGCUGUGGUGUUAUUGUUGUAAGAUGGACAAAACUUGGGUUUGGCUUCCAGGGCCGGCCCAAGGGAAAAUGAGUUGGCCCAUCAUUAAAUACAAUUAAAAAAAAUUUCUAUAAAAAGUACACUGAGUAGGUUCGAACUCGGCAGAUCUAAGAAGAGACUGAAGGUGAUAACCACUCUACCACAAUAAAUAUCUGUAAAAUGAUGCCCUUAAAUCGUUUUAUAGAUAUCUGAUGCCUAAAGCCCAUGCUUUACGGGCUUUAGCCUUGGGCCGGCCCUGUUGGCUUCCAAGGGCUAGCCUUGAGUAUGGAGAAGGAGCUAGUAAUUAGUGGAUUUCCGUGUUUGCAGGUGGCGAGCAAUAUCAUUUUAUUAAAGGAUAUUUUCAUUUUCGACAAGCUAGACCCUGAUGGCAAAAAGUUUGAUUAAGUUACUCGCUUUCAAGCUACGAGCCACAACUUGGAAAUGUUUAUGCAUUUAUAGGUUAAAACAAAGGUUUAUCAAUUGGCUGUUGGUGAUAAGUUCACACUCUCUUGUUUGAUCUGUUUUGGGUAUAUACACACUCUCUUAACCUCGAUGGCUGUUCUUAGCUGUUCUGUUUCUGCUUUUGAUUUUAUCCUUGUCCAUAUGUGAUGAAUUAGUUUUACAGGAUUCGUUUUAUGCAAUAGUUAUGUGCCGUGUUGUAGUCAACUGGAGUUGGAAGAAUCAAGAUUGUGAAUACGCCUUGGUGAAUAUAUGUAUCUUUAGAAGUUUCUAAGUAGAAAAAAAUUGUGAUAUGUAUUGUUGUUCUUCAUUAAAUACAAAUCCUUUUGGUCUCUUAAUAAAAAUUAUUAUUAUUAUUAU